AGGACGAACGCUGGCGGCGUGCCUAACACAUGCAAGUGGAGCGACGAACCAGGCUUCGGCCUGGGGCAGAGCCGCGAACGGGUGAGUAACACGUGGGUAACCUGCCCUGAUGAUUGGGACAACCCGAGGAAACUCGGGCUAAUACCGAAUGUGCCCUCCGGCCUCAAGGCCGUUGGGGAAAGGAAGCCUCGGCCUCCGCAUCGGGAUGGGCCCGCGGCCCAUUAGCUAGUUGGUGGGGUAAUGGCCUACCAAGGCGACGAUGGGUAGCUGGUCUGAGAGGACGAUCAGCCACACUGGGACUGAGACACGGCCCAGACUCCUACGGGGGGCAGCAGUGAGGAAUUUUCGUCAAGUGGGGAAACCCUGAACGAGCAACGCCGCGUGCAGGAAGACACUUUUCGGAGCGUAAACUGCUUUUCUCGGGGACGAGUAAGGACGGUACCGAGGAAUCAGCCCCGGCUAACUACGUGCCAGCACGCCGAC
rnacentral:rRNA from 1 species